AUGUCCAUGAUACUGAUUCAUGUGCUUCCCAGAGAUCUGGGCGAGUUCUUUGACAUCGUUUCUCCAGCUGUUGAGGUAUGGAUGAGUGAUAUCCAUGGUCAAUUCUUAUACCACUGCCUUAUUUCCUAUAUACCUUUGCUUAGUACAAUCACCUCAUGUGUUUCUGUCCUUCAGGGUCUUCACCUUCCGGUGGAUGUGCGUCAGGUGCUGCUCCAGCAGGUGUUUGACAAUGCCAACCUCAAAGACCCUGAGGUGCUGGUGUGGUUGGGCCAGAGACUCCACCCACUUUUACCCAACCUAACAGAUGAGCAUGUGGCCCCCCUCUUCAACAUCGUCAGACACAGAGACUGCAACACCAGCCAAGAAACAGUGGCGUUGUUGAACUCUAUCCUACCAUCACUGUCCAACGGCACACAGGCUGCUGUCCAGUAUCAAAUAAUCAUGUCUCUCAGAGAAUCAACUCCACUACGUUGCUAUAGGAACAACAGCUUCUUCAUGUUCCUGAGACAAUCCUUCCUCAACUUUACAUUCCCAAAGUUGACCAACUUCCUCUCCCUUAUUCCACCACAGCGGGAAUAUGAGCUGCUCAACACCAUGCAUCCCUCAGAGCUCGGCACCUUCCUCAGGAAGCCAGAGGUGGUGGACAACAAGACUAAGCUCUGCACAAUCUUCCGAAACUACAAAGAAACUCCAGAGUUCUUGGAAACCGAGAAUCUUCCGGAUGACGUGAAGCGUCCAGUCCUGCCCUGCGUCUGGCCUUUGGUUCUGGCCACUGAUGACAAGGCUGAGGUUGACCGCUGGUUUGACAACAGACUGAGGAACUACCUGAAACCUGGUCCAAUCCUCUGACACACUCCACGCCUCCUGCUUACCCUUCAGGAGACUUGUGUAUCUACUGGGAUCCAAGCUCACUUUCAAUGGCUCAGCCAUAAUUCAAGAUGACAUGUACAGCACCAUAAAGAACUACCUCAACACAAGAA
rnacentral:lncRNA from 8 species